rnacentral:rRNA from 1 species
CAGCCGCCGCGGGAAUACGAAGGGUGCAAGCGUUACUCGGAAUUACUGGGCGUAAAGCGUGCGUAGGUGGUUGUUUAAGUCUGUUGUGAAAGCCCUGGGCUCAACCUGGGAAUUGCAGUGGAUACUGGGCGACUAGAGUGUGGUAGAGGGUAGUGGAAUUCCCGGUGUAGCAGUGAAAUGCGUAGAGAUCGGGAGGAACAUCCAUGGCGAAGGCAGCUACCUGGACCAACACUGACACUGAGGCACGAAAGCGUGGGGAGCAAACAGGAUUAGAUACCCCCGUAGUCCCUGUCUCUUAUAC